UCCCUUCAAGAAAUUAUCAGUAUUAUUAUUAUUAUUAUUGUUAUUAUUAUUAUUAUUAUUAUUAUUAUUAUUAUUAUUAUUAUUAUAACUAUAAUUAUCACUAGUAAAAAGACAGGUGCGCUCAUCAGAUUAAUAUGACGUAACGUCAUUUCACUUCAGACUGGGUCACUCGCUUUAACGCUGUGCUUUAUUGUUAUCUUUUACGUACGACCGGAGAGUUUACGAGACGUUUCUGAAACGCCUUUAUGAUAAUCGUUAAGUUGGUCGUUAUUAUGAUCGUAAAUUUACGAUAAUGGCAGAUCGUAAAAUCUAUCUGAAACGCACCCAGCGUACUCUGCACAACCGAUAAUGAAAUGGUAAGGGCAGGUAACCCAGGCUACAACCCGGUGAGUACAUUAACAAAUCGUUACGACGCCGUUUUGACUAAAUUUUCAGGGGACGCAACCUAGCGCAAACUGUCAAAAUGUUCGUCGAAGAUAUGCUCUUAUUUCGAUGCAUUUCAAGAGUUUUUGUGUGAUAAAAACACUGGAAUUUUAGAGUGAAAUGCUAUCCAACCACCAGACUCAUGAUCUUGACAUGGAUCCAAGAUGCUGGUAACUAGGCGGAACUGAUUGUUUCACAGAACUGCGGGUUUCUGGAUGGAGACUCAUGGCCGUGUCACAAAAUACUUCAGAACCUAGAUUGAAAGUUACUGAAAGAGCAGUAGACUUUCCAUUCUCUACAAAAUUCAAAUUAACUGUUUUUUAAAGGUGUUACUUGAGACAACCAAAGACUUUUCAAGGACAGAAUUCACAAAACAGUUUAUGCCACCAUCUCAUAUCAAACGAUUGUGCUUAGUGUUGGGAAUCGGUUCCAAUUUUACUAUCGAUAAUCGGUUCCACUCAAGUAACCGAUUAUCUAUAGUACAAUCGUUUUUUUUAAAUACUAGAUAAAACCUAAAGUGAAGUUUUAUUCAUGCACAUUAUUAAACUCUUAAUCAUUAUAUGCAUAUACGUUAUGUCUAUGAUUAAAGUUAUUAAGUGUUAUAUAAAAAAUAGUUCAUUUUUACUUGCUCAUUGUGGCUUUCAUCAGCCAUUUUGUUAAAGAUAACAUCUGAACACUUACUUAUAUUUUUUUUCAUUUUUUUUUUCGAUGAUCGAUUAUAACCAAAUACAAUCGAUUGACGCCGAUUUCAGGCCCAACCAAUCGAUUUUCGAUUAUAAUCGAUCAUCGGAACAUCACUAAUUGUGCUUGAGUUGAACAGCCUUCAAACAGAAACUGUUUCAACACCAUCAAUGGAUUCAUUCAGUUUACUAUCGCUGUGAUAUGAGCAACUAUUUACAUCAUUUUAACAUUGUAAAUUGUUUAAACUUGAAAAUUCGGUCUUCAUGCAACUCACAUGAAUCUAUUUACUGUGGACUUUGAUGUUGACUCUAUUCAGGAAGAAGAGACCAUCUUUAUACAUGCUGGCAUAUCAUUUAAAAAGGAUCAAAUUUUAUAACCAACAUACUGCACUGUUAUGUCAUUCAAGGACUCAGCUACUGACUCCAUUUAUGAAUACUACAAAGGAAUGUCUCUGUCAAUGUAAUUACUGUUGAGCAUAAUAAGACAUUUUUUAUUGAAACUUGGCUCAUUUCUUACAUGUAGCUGUAACAUUUUGGGCAACUUCUCAAUUAUUUUGUUUAAGACAUUUUUCAUCCAGCUCACCUAAGCCUAAGUUAGUGUUCAUGUUAACUUUUGUGACUGCCUGUUUAUUGUACUUUUUAUAAAUUAUUUUCAAUGACUUUUCUCAAGAACCAUUUGGAUAGUAUGUCUCCUCCUGAAAUAGACUAAUUGUUUUAGCUCGAGUUGUCUGUCUGUCCAUCUGUAACAAAUUGUGUCUGCUCCAUGUCUCUUUAACCUUUUGAAGGAUUUGAUAUUACUUCCCACAAAUGUACACCAUAUUGAGAGGAAGGGUUUAUUAUUUAUAACUGUUGAGCAGUUUCUGAACUUGACUGUAUUAUAUCUUGCAUUUACAUCAAGCUGUUAAGUGAACAAUAUAACAUUGACCAAUACAAGGAACUAAACCUUCUUUGUCACCAUUUUGGAAUAAAGUAAUACUUAAAGCUCAUAUUUCCAUAAGAAUCUGCUCAUAUACAGUUUAAAUAGCUUAUACAAGUAUAUCAUUUCAACAUAACAUCAGAUCCACCACUGUUUUAUGUUUUUUUUUUAAACUUUGAUAUAUAUAUCAUGACUUUUAUAAACAAAUACCAAACAGCAACUUACAGAUCUAUACUCAUUUGGGCAAAAUUUGCAAAUCUAAGCCUUUUCAUUUGAUAUUCAAUGUUUUGGCAAAUUGGGGCAUUUUCUGUCACAUUAAAAUCAAUAUUAACAAUAAAUCUCCAACUUUAAUAUUAUCAUAUUUUUGUGUCCAUUCUUUGCCAAUUAUUUGUUUGUCUAUUGGUAUACAUGUAUUUUUAUUCAUACUGUUUGUCAAAAUAAAGAAUGAAUAAAAUGUUUGAAAUAUU